CUGUCCCUAGUACGAGAGGACCGGGACGGACGAACCUCUGGUGUGCCAGUUGUUCUGCCAAGGGCAUGGCUGGUUGGCUACGUUCGGGAGGGAUAACCGCUGAAAGCAUCUAAGCGGGAAGCCUGCUUCGAGAUGAGUAUUCCCACCUCCUUGAGAGGGUAAGGCUCCCAGUAGACGACUGGGUUGAUAGGCCGGAUCUGGAAGCCAGGUAACUGGUGGAGGUGACCGGUACUAAUAGGCCGAGGGCUUGUCCUCAGUUG
rnacentral:rRNA from 1 species